AACGAGGCCGACCUGCGGCUGAGUUACCUGCGGAGGGAUCAUUACAAGUGACCCCGGUUUACCACCGGGAUGUUCAUAACCCUUUGUUGUCCGACUCUGUUGCCUCCGGGGCGACCCUGCCUUCGGGCGGGGGCUCCGGGUGGACACUUCAAACUCUUGCGUAACUUUGCAGUCUGAGUAAACUUAAUUAAUAAAUUAAAACUUUCAGCAAUGGAUCU
rnacentral:misc_RNA from 1 species